rnacentral:rRNA from 1 species
CAGUCGCCGCGGGAAUACAGAGGGUGCGAGCGUUAAUCGGAUUUACUGGGCGUAAAGCGUGCGUAGGCGGCUUCUUAAGUCGGAUGUGAAAUCCCUGAGCUUAACUUAGGAAUUGCAUUCGAUACUGGGAAGCUAGAGUAUGGGAGAGGAUGGUAGAAUUCCAGGUGUAGCGGUGAAAUGCGUAGAGAUCUGGAGGAAUACCGAUGGCGAAGGCAGCCAUCUGGCCUAAUACUGACGCUGAGGUACGAAAGCAUGGGGAGCAAACAGGAUUAGAUACCCAAGUAGUCCCUGUCUCUUAUAC